GAUGAACGCUGGCGGCGUGCCUAAUACAUGCAAGUCGAGCGAACGGACGAGAAGCUUGCUUCUCUGAUGUUAGCGGCGGACGGGUGAGUAACACGUGGAUAACCUACCUAUAAGACUGGGAUAACUUCGGGAAACCGGAGCUAAUACCGGAUAAUAUUUUGAACCGCAUGGUUCAAAAGUGAAAGACGGUCUUGCUGUCACUUAUAGAUGGAUCCGCGCUGCAUUAGCUAGUUGGUAAGGUAACGGCUUACCAAGGCAACGAUGCAUAGCCGACCUUAGAGGGUGAACAGCCACACUGGAACUGAGACACGGUCCAGACUCCGACGGGAGGCAGCAGUAGGGAAUCUUCCGCAAUGGGCGAAAGCCUGACGGAGCAACGCCGCGUGAGUGAUGAAGGUCUUCGGAUCGUAAAACUCUGUUAUUAGGGAAGAACAUAUGUGUAAGUAACUGUGCACAUCUUGACGGUACCUAAUCAGAAAGCCACGGCUAACUACGUG
rnacentral:rRNA from 1 species